GACAGCCAGGAUGUUGGCUUAGAAGCAGCCAUCAUUUAAAGAAAGCGUAAUAGCUCACUGGUCGAGUCGGCCUGCGCGGAAGAUGUAACGGGGCUAAACCAUGCACCGAAGCUGCGGCAGCGACGCUGAUGCGUUGUUGGGUAGGGGAGCGUUCUGUAAGCCUGUGAAGGUGUGCUGUGAGGCAUGCUGGAGGUAUCAGAAGUGCGAAUGCUGACAUAAGUAACGAUAAAGCGGGUGAAAAGCCCGCUCGCCGGAAGACCAAGGGUUCCUGUCCAACGUUAAUCGGGGCAGGGUGAGU
rnacentral:rRNA from 1 species